ACGGUGUCACCUGGUUAUAUCAAUCAAUUUUCUUUACGUCGACCUUUAUUUUGCUGCUCUUCACUUGCAAAAAUAAGAGUUGUAAGACAAAACGUAAAUUUUUUAGAGGAUUUUCAAAUUGUGAACCAAAAAGAGUACCAUUUUUAACCAUCCUCCCCUCCCACAGUGACGCCACGAACUUAAUGACCCACGAGCUAGUAGUAAAAAAAAUAAUGAACAAAAUUCGACCCACUUGACGAAAAGGUUCGCCAUCACUGUUCUAUAACAUAGGAUAUAUGUACUCAAAAAGUAAAGACUAUAUUUGAAAGAAAAGAGAGAAGAGAAGAAUUCCGUGAUUUUAUCUACUUAAAUAUGUACUGUUUGCUCGAAGCGCUAGAUUCUUAAGCGUAGCAUGUAUUACGUACAUCAAUAACGUGAUAUUAGAGAUCAAGAUUAUUAAUUUCAUUCGUAAUGAAAAUUCUUGUUUGGAUUAAACAAAUACCAGAUGAUGCAUAAAAUGAUCCAAUAAAUUCUUGUAGCAGCAACAGCAGAUUAACUACGUUCGUAGAGAUAUAAAUACGUAUUGGUUACCGUUCGCCGGAAGCAUUCAUCUGCAGCAUCGUACACGUACGUAGAGAAACGGCGAGGGAGGACCUUCGAUGGAAUUCGAUCAAUUUUCAUUUCGGUCAGGCUACUACGCAACACGUGUCCCACGAGACGCGAGAAUUUUAUUCGAACACGGAUUGAACUUCGUAAUCCAUUAAGUAGUUGGAUCAAGUGUCGAAAUUGUACGACAUCGUUAUUAAAAUUUUUUACAAUGCGAUCACGAUCGAACAGUUGCCAAAAACGAUAGAUAAACUGCGUUUAGUAAUUAGAAAGUUUAGUAUUAAGAAGUAGUAAUGAGAUCAAUAAAAAAAAAAUGUUCAAUCCUCAUAAA